rnacentral:rRNA from 1 species
GACGAACGCUGGCGGCGUGCUUAACCCAUGCACUUCGAACGGAACUGCCCUGCUUUUGUGGUGUGCUCGAGUGGCGAACGGGUGAGUAACACGUGAGUAACCUGCCCUUUACUUUGGGAUAACUUCAUGACACUGGGGCUAAUACCGGAUAUGAGCUCCUUCUUCAUGGUUGGGGUUGGAAAGUUUCGGCGGUUGGGGAUGGACUCGCGGCUUAUCAGCUUGUUGGUGGGGUAGUGGCUUACCAAGGCUUUGACGGGUAGCCGGCCUGAGAGGGUGACCGGAAACAUUGGGACUGAGAUACGGCCAAGACUCAUACGGGAGGAAGCAGUGGGGAAGAUUGAACAAGGGGCGGAAGCCUGAGGCAGCAACGCCGCGUGCGGGAUGACGGCCUGCGGGUUGUAAACCGCUUUCGCCUGGGACGAGGAGUGAGUGAAGGGAAUGGGUAAAGAAGCACCGGAUAACUACGUG